AGUGAACGCUGGUGGUAGGCCUAACACGUGCAAGUCGAACGGCAGCACAGUAAGAGCUUGCUCUUACGGGUGGCGAGUGGCGGACGGGUGAGGAAUACAUCGGAAUCUACUUUUUCGUGGGGGAUAACGUAGGGAAACUUACGCUAAUACCGCAUACGACCUACGGGUGAAAGCAGGGGAUCUUCGGACCUUGCGCGAUUGAAUGAGCCGAUGUCGGAUUAGCUAGUUGGCGGGGUAAAGGCCCACCAAGGCGACGAUCCGUAGCUGGUCUGAGAGGAUGAUCAGCCACACUGGAACUGAGACACGGUCCAGACUCCUACGGGAGGCAGCAGUGGGGAAUAUUGGACAAUGGGCGCAAGCCUGAUCCAGCCAUACCGCGUGGGUGAAGAAGGCCUUCGGGUUGUAAAGCCCUUUUGUUGGGAAAGAAAAGCAGCAGGUUAAUACCCCGCUGUUCUGACGGUACCCAAAGAAUAAGCACCGGCUAACUUCGUG
rnacentral:rRNA from 1 species